rnacentral:rRNA from 1 species
GAUCCUGGCUCAGGAUGAACGCUAGCGGCAGGCUUAACACAUGCAAGUCGAGGGGCAGCAUAAUGGAUAGCAAUAUCUAUGGUGGCGACCGGCGCACGGGUGCGUAACGCGUAUGCAACCUACCUUUAACAGGGGGUAUAACACGUGAGAAAUUGGUACUAAUACCCCAUAAUAUCAUAGAAGGCAUCUUUUAUGGUUGAAAAUUCCGAUGGUUAGAGAUGGGUCAUGCGUUGUA